GCCCUUCUGGCGCAAUAGAAGCGUGUGGCUUUCCUGAGGCCAAGGUUCUGGGUGCAAGUCCCAGGUUGGGUU
rnacentral:tRNA from 1 species